rnacentral:rRNA from 1 species
AAUCCAUAGGUUAAUGAGGCGAACCGGGGGAACUGAAACAUCUAAGUACCCCGAGGAAAAGAAAUCAACCGAGAUUCCCCCAGUAGCGGCGAGCGAACGGGGAGGAGCCCAGAGCCUGAAUCAGCAUGUGUGUUAGUGGAAGCGUCUGGAAAGGCGCGCGAUACAGGGUGACAGCCCCGUACACAAAAGCGCAUGUGCUGUGAGCUCGAUGAGUAGGGCGGGACACGUGGUAUCCUGUCUGAAUAUGGGGGGACCAUCCUCCAAGGCUAAAUACUCCUGACUGACCGAUAGUGAACCAGUACCGUGAGGGAAAGGCGAAAAGAACCCCGGCGAGGGGAGUGAAAAAGAACCUGAAACCGUGUACGUACAAGCAGUGGGAGCACCCUUUGGGUGUGACUGCGUACCUUUUGUAUAAUGGGUCAGCGACUUAUAUUCUGUAGCAAGGUUAACCGAAUAGGGGAGCCGGAGGGAAACCGAGUCUUAACCGGGCGUUAAGUUGCAGGGUAUAGACCCGAAACCCGGUGAUCUAGCCAUGGGCAGGUUGAAGGUUGGGUAACACUAACUGGAGGACCGAACCGACUAAUGUUGAAAAAUUAGCGGAUGACCUGUGGCUGGGGGUGAAAGGCCAAUCAAACCGGGAGAUAGCUGGUUCUCCCCGAAAGCUAUUUAGGUAGCGCCUCGUGAAUUCAUCUCCGGGGGUAGAGCACUGUUUCGGCUAGGGGGCCAUCCCGGCUUACCAACCCGAUGCAAACUGCGAAUACCGGAGAAUGUUAUCACGGGAGACACACGGCGGGUGCUAACGUCCGUCGUGAAGAGGGAAACAACCCAGACCGCCAGCUAAGGUCCCAAAGUCAUGGUUAAGUGGGAAACGAUGUGGGAAGGCCCAGACAGCCAGGA